rnacentral:rRNA from 1 species
CGAGAAAGUGGAGCAAUCCAUGAGUAAAGUGGCGCACGGGUGAGUAACACGUGACUAACCUACCCUUGAGUGGGGGAUAACCUAGGGAAACCUGGGCUAAUACCGCAUAAUACCUACGGGUCAAAGGAGCAAUUCGCUCGAGGAGGGGGUCGCGGCCGAUUAGUUAGUUGGCGGGGUAAUGGCCCACCAAGACUAUGAUCGGUAUCCGGCCUGAGAGGGCGCACGGACACACUGGAACUGAAACACGGUCCAGACUCCUACGGGAGGCAGCAGUGGGGAAUUUUGCGCAAUGGGGGAAACCCUGACGCAGCAACGCCGCGUGGAGGAUGAAGUCCUUCGGGACGUAAACUCCUUUCGAUCGGGACGAUUAUGACGGUACCGGAAGAAGAAGCCCCGGCUAACUUCGUGCCAGCAGCCGCGGUAAUACGAGGGGGGCGAGCGUUGUUCGGAAUUAUUGGGCGUAAAGGGUGCGUAGGUGGUUUGGUAAGUCUUGUGUGAAAUCUCUGGGCUCAACUCAGAGUCUGCACGAGAAACUGCCGGGCUUGAGUAUGGGAGAGGUGAGUGGAAUUCCUGGUGUAGCGGUGAAAUGCGUAGAUAUCAGGAGGAACACCUGUGGCGAAAGCGGCUCACUGGACCAUAACUGACGCUGAUGCACGAAAGCUA